rnacentral:rRNA from 1 species
AACGUAGGUGGCAAGCGUUGUCCGGAAUCACUGGGCGUAAAGCGCGCGCAGGCGGUCAUCUACGUCUGGGGUGAAAGCCCGGAGCUCAACUCCGGGACUGCCUUGGAUACGGGAUGACUUGAGGAUCGGAGAGGCAAGGGGAAUUCCACGUGUAGCGGUGAAAUGCGUAGAGAUGUGGAGGAACACCUGUGGCGAAGGCGCCUUGCUGGCCGAUUUCUGACGCUGAGACGCGAAAGCGUGGGGAGCAAACAGG